UAGCCUUGACAUACUACAGAAUUUGACAGAGAUGUUGAAGUGCCUUCGGGAGCUGUAAUACAGGUGCUGCACGGCUGUCGUCAGCUCGUGUCGUGAGAUGUUGGGUUAAGUCCCGCAACGAGCGCAACCCUCGUCCUUAGUUACUAACGGUUUGGCCGAGGACUCUAAGGAGACUGCCUUCGUAAGGAGGAGGAAGGUGAGGACGACGUCAAGUCAUCAUGGCCCUUACGGCUAGGGCAACACACGUGCUACAAUGGUUAGGACAAUGAGAAGCGAUACCGCGAGGUGGAGCAAAUCUAUAAACCUAAUCUCAGUUCGGAUAGCAGUCUGCAACUCGACUGCUUGAAGCUGGAAUCACUAGUAAUCGUAAAUCAGCUAUGUUACGGUGAAUACGUUCCGCGGGUCU
rnacentral:rRNA from 1 species